rnacentral:rRNA from 1 species
GUGUCAGCAGCCGCGGUAAUACAUAGGGGGCGAGCGUUAUCCGGAAUUAUUGGGCGUAAAGGGUACGUAGGCGGGUCUGCAAGUCUGAUUUGAAAGCACACGGCUUAACCGUGUGAGGUAAUUAGAAACUACAGAUCUAGAGAGUGGUAGAGGUAAAUGGAAUUCCAAGUGGAGCGGUGAAAUGCGUAGAGAUUUGGAGGAACACCAGUGGCGAAGGCGGCUUACUGGGCCACAUCUGACGCUGAUGUACGAAAGCGUGGGGAGUAAACAGGAUUAGAUACCCUGGUAGUCCACGCCGUAAACGAUGAGUGCUAAGUAUCGGGAGAAUUCGGUGCUCAAGCUAACGCAGUAAGCACUCCGCCUGGGGAGUACGGUCGCAAGAUUAAAACUUAAAGAAAUUGACGG